AGAUGCGAUCAUACCAGCACUAAAGCACCGGAUCCCAUCGGAACUCCGAAGUUAAGCGUGCUUGGGCGAGAGUAGUACUAGGAUGGGUGACCUCCUGGGAAGUCCUCGGGUUGCAUUCC
rnacentral:rRNA from 1 species